GUGCUCGCUUUGGCAGCACAUAUACUAAAAUUGGAACGAUACAGAGAAGAUUAGCAUGGCCCCUGCGCAAGGAUAAAAAAAAAAAUGCAAACUCUC
ensembl:snRNA U6 U6 spliceosomal RNA